UGAAUAAAUUAGUUAGGGAUACCUACUUGAAUAGAGAUUGUUGAGGGUUAUGGAACUAUUAUGAGCUGACUCACUGACUUUCUUUCUUUUGUUCAGCUUGAUUCUGUAAACUGUUGGCACAUGACCAAAGUAAAAAUCAACUGAAAUCGAAAGAAAGAUACGUAGUCAAUUGACAUAAACUGAUAAAAUUAAUUAUAUACCAAUCAGAAACCACGGUUGAAAUUCUCCGGCGCCAUGGCGGUUUGACGAACUUAGCUUACUGACAAUUUCACUAAGAGAUGAUUUGGGGGUUUUAUAGUUGGGUGCAUCGUGGAGGAUGAGAUCAGAUAGGCUAAUGGAAUCUAGGGUUAAUUCUCCCCAAUACGGUGGAUGUCAACUCCGGUGAUCUUGCAGUCAUAUUCAGUUCACAAGAGACAACUUCUACAUGAAAAACACCUUCAUCUAUGUGUGAUUCCUCAGUAAUGGACCUGGGCUGAAACAAUUACCGAUGGGACGCAGUCAAGACAACAAAUUAAAUUAACAUGAUCAGGUCUGUCAGGGCCAGACGAAAGAACUCGGAGGAUGCUGUUGUGGGAGAAGACGACGAUGGCGGACCGAGCCUGCUUCAUGGAAUAUUAAAGUAAUGAGUUGACGCUUAUCCGCGCGUUGCAGCAGGAUGUUAAUUAUAUGCCAACAUGUUACAGUUUAAACAUCAAUAUGUCUAAACCUAUAAUACUUUGUCAAAAUAACCGCGACAAAGUUCUAGCGGCCAAAAAGACGAAAGAACCGUCCCCGGUAAAGCUUAGUCAUGAUGAUACACCGUUGCGGUAGGUGAUCACACAACUCUCUCAUGCAUCGUAGCCACUUUAUCACAUCGAUGCGGAGAGGAUCCACUCCAAAUCAGACUCGUCAGAUCAAGAGAAAUUUUCUGACCAAAUCGCCAUGUGGACCUUAUCACCAACACUCGUGGACAUCACCAUAACCUUCCCCCGUAUGUCUAACGGCUUAAAACCCAUGUAGUGAUGAAAUAAAUUCAAAUGUAUGAGUAGUAUUAUAUUAUACACUAUAAAAAUUAUGGAUCGUGUCAUCAAGUAUGUUAAGUAUGUUCUAAAGGGUGUUU